CCUCUCUCCUUGUCCAUCACCCCUGGAGAGUCAGCCUCCAUCACCUGCAUGUCCAGUCAGAGUUUUCUUCACAGUAAUGGAAACACCUAUUUGUAUUGGUUUCUGCACAAGCCAGGCCAGGCUCCAUGGCUCCUGAUCUAUCAAGUUUCCAAACGCUUCUCUGGGGUCUCAGACAUGUUCAGCAGCAGUGGGUCAGAGACAGAGUUCACACUGAGAAUCAGCAGGGUGGAGGCUGAGGAUGCUGGGGUGUAUUACUGUGCUACACAACUUACACAAGCUCCUCCCACAGUGGUACAGCCCUGAACAA
rnacentral:lncRNA from 1 species